GCUGAAGUGGCAGAAAUAUGCGUCAAGUUUAAGCCUUGGAGAUGGGAUUAAUAGAAAUUCCCCUUUAGUA
rnacentral:tRNA from 1 species